rnacentral:rRNA from 1 species
CACGUAGGGGGGCGAGCGUUGUCCGGAUUAUUGGGCGUAAAGAGCUCGUAGGCGGCUCGGUAAGUCGGGUGUGAAAUUUCGGAGCUUAACUCCGAAACUGCAUUCGAUACUGCGGUGCUUGAGGACUGGAGAGGAGACUGGAAUUCAUGGUGUAGCAGUGAAAUGCGUAGAGAUCAUGAGGAAGACCAGUGGCGAAGGCGGGUCUCUGGACAGUUCCUGACACUGAGACACGAAGGCCAGGGGGAGCAAACGGG